ACACUGUGGCUUUAUUCAUGUGGCGAACAUUCUUGUCUGAAUUUCCAAAGGCGGAUAUGUUGAGGGUUUCCUUUCCGUCUGGCUUGACGUUCAACUUGUCGGCUAUUUCCUGCGUCAUAAUAUGGGUCAAUAUCCCUAAUGCGCCUCAAAUUGAGGAACACAAAAUGUGUGUGUAAACAAACUAUCUCUGUGUAGUGAUAUUGGACAUGUUUCUAUUUUUAACAAGUGACUGAGCUUAACCAUUUGUGUUGAUUUUGAAAGUAGAGGACCAUAGAAUAAAUGUGUAAAAACUAUGGAGUUAUUAAAUGUAUUCAAAGUAUUAGAUUUUCAAAGAAUUUUUUAUGUGAAAAAAGGGAUUUUUUACCAGGAAGAGCCGCAUCACGAAAGGACUUUCGGGGUAUGCUAAUUUACGGAAAAAUGAAUCACACUUCGUACCCCAAAAAUUUAACCACAUCUGUGAAAAUGUCUCAGCUUCGAAACGAGCCAUCAUACAUAUCCAAGUUUACGAUAUGGACUGAGCUACAGAAGAAAACGUUACCAUUACCGCCUAUGGAGAAACAAUUGCGCAUAUUGCCCCAAUUUAUAAGACUGUAUAUUUGAAGUUGUCAGACUAAUUUAUGAAUGAUUGCAUCUUGUACACCAGAGAAAAUUGUGAAAAUGAAGUUUCAGACAUAUCAUUCCAGUUUAACCUGAGACGGCAAAUAAGAGGUUUUAAAAAGUUCUGAAUUACUGAAAUGGACAAAAACUCACAGUUUUAUUCAGAAAGUCAUACCAAUGAAGAUUACACAGGACUAUUGGGAAAAAUCAU